AGAGUUUGAUCCUGGCUCAGAACUAACGCUGGCGGCGUGCCUAACACAUGCAAGUCGAACGAGAAAGCCGCAAGGUGAGUAAAGUGGCGGACGGGUGCGUAACACGUGGGUAAUCUACCUAUUGGCUUGGGAUAACAGUCCGAAAGGAUUGCUAAUACCGGAUAAGACCACAGCUCUGCGGAGUGGUGGUAAAAGGCGCUCGCAAGGGUGCCACCGAUUGAUGAGCCCGCGGCCUAUCAGCUUGUUGGCGGGGUAACGGCCCACCAAGGCUACGACGGGUAGCUGGUCUGAGAGGACGACCAGUCACACUGGAACUGAGACACGGUCCAGACUCCUACGGGAGGGCAGCAGUGGGGAAUAUUGCGCAAUGGACGAAAGUCUGACGCAGCAACGCCGCGUGGGUGAUGAAGGCCUUCGGGUUGUAAAGCCCUGUCGCCCGGGACGAACAAGUCGUCUAACUAACGACUCUGACGGUACCGGGAGAGGAAGCACCGGCUAACUCUGUGCCAGCAGCCGCGGUAAUACAGAGGGUGCUAGCGUUGUUCGGAAUUAUUGGGCGUAAAGGGCGCGUAGGCGGCCCUGUGUGUCGGGUGUGAAAGCCCACCUCUUAAAGGUGGAAUUGCAUUCGAAACUACAGGGCUGGAGUGUCGGAGAGGAUGGCGGAAUUCCUGGUGUAGAGGUGAAAUUCGUAGAUAUCAGGAGGAACACCGGUGGCGAAGGCGGCCAUCUGGACGACAACUGACGCUGAGGCGCGAAAGCGUGGGGAUCAAACAGGAUUAGAUACCCUGGUAGUCCACGCUGUAAACGAUGGGUGCUAGGUGUUGUGGGUAUUGACCCCCGCAGUGCCGUCGCUAACGCAUUAAGCACCCCGCCUGGGGAGUACGGCCGCAAGGCUAARACUCAAAGGAAUUGACGGGGGUCCGCACAAGCGGUGGAGCAUGUGGUUCAAUUCGACGCAACGCGCAGAACCUUACCUGGGCUUGACAUCCACGGAACCUCUUGGAAACAAGAGGGUGCCUCGCAAGAGGAGCCGUGAGACAGGUGCUGCAUGGCUGUCGUCAGCUCGUGUCGUGAGAUGUUGGGUUAAGUCCCGCAACGAGCGCAACCCUUGUCUGUAGUUGCCAGCGAGUCAUGUCGGGCACUCUACAGAGACUGCCGGCGUUAAGCCGGAGGAAGGCAGGGAUGACGUCAAGUCCUCAUGGCCUUUAUGCCCAGGGCUACACACGUGCUACAAUGGCGACCACAAACCGUUGCUAACUCGCGAGAGUACGCUAAUCGGAAAAAAGUCGCCUCAGUUCAGAUUGCAGUCUGCAACUCGACUGCAUGAAGGCGGAAUCGCUAGUAAUCGCGCAUCAGAACGGCGCGGUGAAUACGUUCCCGGGCCUUGUACACACCGCCCGUCACACCACGAAAGUCGCUUGGACCAGAAAUGCGCUCACCAAGAGCGCCUUAAGGUCUGAGUGGUGAUUGGGGUGAAGUCGUAACAAGGUAACC
rnacentral:rRNA from 1 species